rnacentral:rRNA from 1 species
CGCGUAGGCGGCUAUGAAAGUCUGGUGUGAAAGGCCACAGCUUAACUGUGGGAGUGCACUGGAAACUACAUGGCUAGAGUUCAAGAGGGGAAGUUGAAUUCCUGGUGUAGGGGUGAAAUCUGUAGAUAUCAGGAAGAACACCUGUGGCGAAGGCGAACUUCUGGCUAUGAACUGACGCUGAGGCGCGAAAGCGUGGGGAGCGAACA